GAUCACACGGGAUGUCGGAAUGUUGCUUCCGAAUGUUCUAGUAACCUGACAUCGGCUUUACAACUCGCUUUUAGCGUCCCUCUGCAACCAAUUCACCUGGAAACUGGAGCUCGCACAUGCCCUUGCAUUCAAAAACACUUCCCGAUUUGGCCACUGGAGUCAGGGGUGUCGGACCACGGGUAAUGAUGGACCUGAGUAACAGGGGCCCUCACUGGAGGGGGUCCCACAGAAAGGUCGUCAUGGUGGCAUAGUGACUCACCUCAAUCCGGGUGGCGGAGGACAAAUCUCAGUUACUUCUGUGUCCAUGCAUCUUAUCACGUGGCUUGUUGAGUGCAUUAAUGCGGAGACCUAGAGCGUGUGGAGGCUUCACGCUAUUCUCUGCGGCAUCCACGCACAACUCACCACGCGCCCCACCGAGAGCGAGAACCACGCAUUAUAGCGACCACGAGGAGGUUAACCCAACAUGACUCUACCCACCCUAGCAACCGGACCAAUUGGUUGCUUAGGAAGCCUGACUGGAGUCACUCAGUACUCCCUGGAUUCGAACUUACGAAUCCAGGUGUGGUAGUCAGUGUCUUUACUUGCUGAGCUAUCCAGGCCCCCUGCCAAAGAACUGUUUUAAACACUUUUGACUUGACACAACAUAUAAUUGGAUCCACACACACUCGCGGCCACACUCUAGAUCUGCUUAUUAGUAAGGGUCUGAACAUUUCAUCCACUGUUAUUAAGGAUGUAGCGCUAUCUGACCAUCUCUGUAUUUUCUUUGAUCUACUGAUUUCUCCACCCACUGACGUUAGAUCUGUCUCCAUCAAGAGGUACAUAAAUGAAAACAUUAGUGUGCAAUUUAUAAAGGCUUUAUCUAUGACACCAAGUAUGUCUGCAGUAUCUGUUGAUGUUCUCCUUGAUAACUUUAACUCUAAAAACGUUAUUGAUGACAUUGCUCCUGUAAAGGCCAGGAAGAUUACUGUAAAGCACCUUGGAGAAACACAACAGCAGUGCAAAGCAUGAAAAGGAAAUACAGAAAAGCAGAACGAAUAUGGCAGAAAAAAAACUUGAAGUCCAUUAAAAUAUCUAUAGAGACAGCCUUUAAUGCUUUUAAUUUGGAACUAGGCACAGCUACACAGACUUUCUUCUCCAACAUUAUAAACAGCAAUAUAAACAACACCGGGACUCUGUUUGCUACUGUAGAUAGACUAACUAACCCACCAACACAGGUUCCCUGUGAAAUGCUCUCUGACAGCAAAUGCAAUGAGUUUGCAUCUUUUUUCAGGAAAAAAAAUCAAUGUCAUUAGAAUGGCAAUCAGCUUGUCCUCAUGUUGCCCUGAGGUUAGACAGAGCCCACCACAACAACUUCAGAAAUUAGACAGUAUGUCUGAUUUUGAGGCAACUGAUAGCAAAACCCUGGAAGAAACAGUAGAGCAGCUUAAAACAUUGACCUACUGUCUUUACACUCUCCCCACAUCUUUUUUCAAAAAUGUGUUUAACUGUCCAGAAACUGAUCUCUUUGAGAGAUCAGUUGUGAAUGCCUCACUCAUUUCAGGCACUUUUCCGAAGUCUCUAAAAACUGCAGUUUUUAAGCCCCUUCUAAAAAAGAGCAAUCUGGAUAACGGCAUAUUAAAGAACUACAAGCCAAUUUCAAAUCCUCCCUUUCAUAGGCAAGAUCAUUGAAAAGGUUGUUUUCAAUCUGCUGAACAAAUUCUUAAACUCAAAUUGCUACUUGGACAAUUUUUAGUCUGGUUUUCAGCAGCAUCACAGCACAGAGAUGGCACUCAUAAAGAUAAUAAAUGAUAUAUGGCUAAAUACUGAUGCAGUUAAAAUAUCAGUGCUGGUUUUAUUGGAUCUCAGUGCUGCAUUUGACACUGUUGACCACAAAACACUCCUAGACAGACAAGAAAACUGUGUAGGGCUCUCUGGGACGGCCCUCAGCUGGUUCAGGUCAUAUCUAGAUGGGAGGGGUUACUUUGUGAACAUAGAAAACUAUGAAUCUGAGUGGACAUCCAUGACUUGUGGAGUCCCGCAAGGCUAAAUUCUUGCACCACUUCUGUUUAACCUGUAAAUGCUCCCACUAGGCCAAAUUAUGAAAAAGAACCAAAUUGCAUACCAUAACUAUGCAGAUGACACCCAGAUCUACCUAGCCCUAUCGCAGAGUGACUACAGCCCCAUAGACUCCCUGCACCAGUGCCUCGAUGAAAUUAACAGUUGGAUGUGCCGAAACAUCCUUCAGUUAAACACAGACAAGACAGAGAUCAUUGUAUUUGGCAACAAAGGUGAAAUUCCCAAGGUGAACAAAUACCUUGACUCCAUAGGUCUAAAGACAAAAAAUCAAGUAAGGAAUCUUGGUGUUAUUUUGGAGUCAGACCUUAGUUUCAGUAGUCACAUCAAAGCAAUAAACAAAUCAGCCUUCUAUCAUCUAAAAAAAUAUAGAGAGAAUGAGAUAUUUUGUAUCCAGUCAAGACUUAAAGAAACUUGUUCAUGCAUUCAUCACCAGUAGGGUCGACUACUGCAAUGGACUCCUUGCCGGCAUUCCCGUAAAGACAAUUAGACAGCUGCAGCUCAUUCAGAAUGCUGCUUCCAGGAUUCUUACCAGAACAAAAAAGACUGAGCAUAUCUCUCCAGUACUUAGGUCUUUACACUGGCUUCCAGUCACAUUUAGAAUUGAUUUUAAGGCACUAUAACUCGUUUAUAAAUCACUCAAAGGCUUGCACCUAAAUACAUUGCAGAUAUGCUUGUUGAAUAUAAACCUAACAGGCCUCUUAGAUCAUUAGGAUCAAGUCAGCAAGAAAUACCAAGUGUUUACUCAAAACAAGGUGAGACUGUGUUUAGUUAAUAUGCCACCCGCAGCUGAAACCAGCUUCCAGAAGAGGUUAGAUAUGCCCCAAGAGUAGCCACAAUUAAAUCCAGACUGAAAACACAUCAGUUUAGCUGUGCAUUUUCUGACUGAGCAUUGUGCUGCACUUACUAACUGCUUUCAUUCAUUUUAAUAAUUCUAUUUUAUUAUUUUAUUUUUUAACAAUUUAGUAUUCUAUUUCUUUUUUAUUCAUUUUAAUCAUUUCAAGUUUUUCUUUAAAAUGUAUUUGAUUACUUUUUAAUCUUAUUUCAUGUUCUUAAUUGCAUUUUAAAUUUAUUUUUAUGUAACUUGUAUUUUCUUUAUCAUUUUUAUGUAAAACACUUUGAGUUGCCAUUGUGUAUGAAAUGUGCUAUAUAAAUAAACUUGCCUUGCCUUCCCAUCGAAAUCAGUGGAUUUGCAGCAUUCUCUGGCAUAGCAAAAACUUAAGUGUGUAAAUGCCCUUUUUGGCUGUAUUUCAAUUAUCAUUGCUUUUUGAUGAUCUACGUCCUAUGCUGUCCACACGUAAACAUCAACUGUCCUAUUCUUGUGUCCUUUUGGUCUCAUUUGUCUUUCCCUGGUUCUUGUUUAAUUGUUCACUGUCUGAAACAGGACAUGCCCAUGGGAAUACUCCAGCCUUAUAGACACAUAAUGAGGUCCAGUAGAACACCAGGAACAUUCAGAAGAGGAAAGGGCCAGAAAGAGACAGGACAGUGUUACCAGUGCAGAUGAUGUAGAUGGUGAUGACAAAGAUGUGUGAUUGGCAGCAGUAUAAUUGCAUUUCAUGUGUUGAUACCUGCCUAUAGAAUGUGUGUUGGAAUAUACAUUUGUGCAUGUACUAAUUAAAGCCUUGACAUCCGGC